GGUUUCAUGGUGUAGUUCGUUAUCAUGUCAGUCUAACACACUGACGGUCUCCGGUUCAAGUCUGGCCGAAGCCA
rfam:Ipomoea nil DNA, scaffold: scaffold1570, cultivar: Tokyo-kokei standard.